AAUCAACGCUGGCGGCGUGCCUAACACAUGCAAGUCGAACGCGAAAGUGGAGCAAUCCAUGAGUAGAGUGGCAAACGGGUGAGUAACGCGUGGGCGACCUACCUCUGAGUGGGGGAUAACCUUCCGAAAGGAGGGCUAAUACCGCAUGACAUCCCGUGUUUGGAUACACGGACAUCAAAGCCGGGGAUCGCAAGACCUGGCGCUUGGAGAGGGGCCCGCGUCCGAUUAGCUAGUUGGCGAGGUAAUGGCUCACCAAGGCUCCGAUCGGUAUCCGGCCUGAGAGGGCAGACGGACACACUGGAACUGAGACACGGUCCAGACUCCUACGGGAGGCAGCAGUGGGGAAUUGUUCGCAAUGGGCGCAAGCCUGACGACGCAACGCCGCGUGGAGGAUGAAGACUUUCGGGUCGUAAACUCCUUUCGACCGAGAUGAAUUUCCGCCGGCCUAAUAUGCCGGCGGGGUGACAGUAUCGAGGGAAGAAGCCCCGGCUAACUCCGUGC
rnacentral:rRNA from 1 species